UCCGGCCUCCCUCCUUCCCGGGUUCCCAGGGCCGCCCAGCUCGGCCUCACCUUCCGGCCUCAGCACCCGCCUUAGGGCCUUACCUCCGAGCAGGAGCAGGUGGCCGCCGAGCCGGGACCGCCACCUCCUCUUCCCUGGGCUCGGGUCUCCGGACUUCUGCUGAGCUCAGAACCCCGCGCAGCUGAGAAACUGAGGCUCGCAGGCCUCAGCACGCCUGAGGCUGGUGCGAGAGGGCCUGUGCUCUCCCGCGUUACUCUCCAGUACCCUCGGCUGGUCCCGGAUGGGACAGGGCGACAGCCACGCUGCCCUGUUCACGUAGCCCACGGGGCCGGGCACCUGCCGGCUGCCCCGGGACUCCUUCCACUUGCAGGGAGCGACACUGGAGGUCAAAGUCACAGACGAGUCCUGGGCAGAGGGAUGGGAGCUGGAACUCAAAGGAGCCCUCAGAACAAACUUUUGGACAGCUCUUCUGAUCAUUUCCUGCUGGCUAGAGAAUUUGAGGCAGGAACUCCCCACUGGAGGAACUGAAGGAUGAGACAGGAG
rnacentral:lncRNA from 1 species